rnacentral:rRNA from 1 species
GGGUAAACUGAGAAACCGAARGUCGAAUGGGGAAAUUCAUUCGCGUUUCGAUUGUCGGCGUUGAGCUGUUGUGUGACUGACGGGGUACGCUUCGUAAGCGCCUUCAGUUCUUCGAACCGACUUCGAACGCGUGCACUUUUCCCCUAGUAGGACGUCGCGAUCCGUUGGGCGUCGGUCUAAGGCCUGCGGUGGAGCUCGCGUGGACGUUUCGGCGUUCCGCACGAACCCGCAGUGUCCCGAUCGACUCGCUCGACGGUAUAAAGAUGGCGCGGGGCCGCUACACAGUUAGCGUUCGGCCUACGGCAAGCACGUACGGUGUUCGAUGGCGAUCAGACCUAGUCGGAUCCCGUCCCCGGACGACUGUUGGCACGUAGUGUUCUCGAACAGACCUCGUUGAAACGCCGAUCUGCGACGCUAUUGCUUUGGGUACUUUCAGGACCCGUCUUGAAACACGAC